UGUGUUGGUGAUGUCAUAGACCACGAUGGCAGCCUGGGCCCCCCGAUAGUACAUGGGGGCCAGGCUGUGAUACCGCUCCUGUCCAGCUGUGUCCCAGAUCUCAAAUUUGACUGUUGUGUCGUCCAAACAGACCGUCUGUGUGAGGAAGGCCGCUGCAAGAGGAAAGGUGAUGUUAUAUGGCAGGAAGGAACUCAAGAAGCUGCCCCCACAUAUCUCCAGUACUGUAUCUGGGCCCUGGCACUUAGAGGCCCUCUGCUGAGAUGGGCCCAGAAAAGCCCCCAGCCCAGCAGCCGAAGCAGGCCCAAGCGGGCUCCUGACUUGAGUGCUGAGGAGGCAGCAGAAGACUGCUGACACGACCCAUUUAGCUUCCAGCUGCCUGGAAACCUCUUACCAAGAGGGGAGAGAAAGGAUGACUCAAGCCCAAGAUAAGUAGCUUGACACUCAGGUGUUACAUGUCCUGCUCAAGGCCAUCCAACAUAUAGAAGACAGAGCAGGACGCAGGCUGCCUGUGUGCUCCUUUAUCCCCCUGCUCUUCUCCUGCCCAUCUCCCUGCCUUGGGAAGAAUGCUGGAGACAAUGCUCACCCUGUGUUUUGUUUCUGGUGGCUGGUGAAUGAGACCCUGCUUUUGUGGCAGCAGCUUUGCUGGCCUGCAAGGUGUGGCUCUAGCUGACAGUCACAGGGAUCUUGCAGGCCCUGAGUACUUCCAACAAUGGGAGGAGCCUCCCAGGGCCAGGCAGGGCCACAGCAGCAGAGGAAACCACAGUGGAAUUACAAGUUGGUUAUUACCACAAAUCCAUGUGACACAUCAUCUUGGCUGGGCCAGAGUGUGGCUGGGACACUGCAGAAGGAGGUAUGAAGGAGUACGGAGAGAAGGUGAUGUCCCUGAUUCCAACAAAACCAAAGCAAAUGGGGCUAAGGGCUACCGGAGUGGGCAGUAACCAGCACCCAAGAAUCAAGAAACACAGAGAUAACAUCUAAGUCUUGUCCCUAACGAAUCAGUGGGUUUCCAAACCUUCCCAGACAGAACCUGGUAUUUUUAACAAGCCAGAAGGAAAGACAGCUCUUAUCCAGUGGUUCCUGAUCUUGUCUGCACAUUAAAAUCACCUGUGCAGCCAGCCCCUAGAGGUUCUGAUGAAGAUCUGGAGGAGGGCCUGGUAUCUGUAUUUUUUAAAAACAUUUUUUAAAAAGAUUAUUUUAGAGAGAAAGAGUAAGAGACAGCAAGCAGGGGGAGGGGCAGAGGGAGAGAAGCAGACUCCCCACUGA